rnacentral:precursor_RNA from 7 species
UCCUGGCAUCAUGCCACUGCUGAUUUUAUCUAUUCCUUGCAGGUUUUGCCUGUCGGUUUAAACAGACAAGGCAGGAUCACAAGGUCUGGAUAGCAAUUGGCACUAUCCAGCGACAUAGGA